rnacentral:rRNA from 1 species
UGGGGAAUAUUGCACAAUGGGGGAAACCCUGAUGCAGCGACGCCGCGUGGGUGACGAAGUAUUUCGGUAUGUAAAGCCCUAUCAGCAGGGAAGAAGCUGACAGUACCUGACUAAGCAGCUCCGGCUAACUACGUGCCAGCAGCCGCGGUAAUACGUAGGGGGCAAGCGUUAUCCGGAUUUACUGGGUGUAAAGGGAGCGUAGGUGGCAUGGCAAGCCAGAAGUGAAAACCCGGGGCUUAACUCCGCGGAUUGCUUUUGGAACUGUCAGGCUGGAGUGCAGGAGGGGCAGGCGGAAUUCCUGGUGUAGCGGUGAAAUGCGUAGAUAUCAGGAGGAACACCGGUGGCGAAGGCGGCCUGCUGGACUGUAACUGACACUGAGGCUCGAAAGCGUGGGGAGCAAACAGG